rnacentral:rRNA from 1 species
CACGUAGGGUGCGAGCGUUGUCCGGAAUUAUUGGGCGUAAAGAGCUCGUAGGCGGUGUGUCGCGUCGGCCGUGAAAACCUGCAGCUUAACUGUGGGCUUGCGGUCGAUACGGGCAUCACUGGAGUUCGGCAGGGGAGACUGGAAUUCCUGGUGUAGCGGUGAAAUGCGCAGAUAUCAGGAGGAACACCCGAUGGCGAAGGGCAGGUCUCUGGGCCAUUACUGACACUGAGAAGCGAAAGCAUGGGGAGCGAACAGG